UUUUUUUUUUUUUUUUUUUUUUUUUUUUUUUUUUUGAGAAGAGAUACAAAAGGAAACAAGGAAAAAAUUACUUUCAUGAUAUUAACCACAAGGUCUAUAUUACAGGUCUCUGCAUUCUAAAAUGGAGUAGACCUGGUGUUUGGGGGAUUUUUUUUUUUUUUGUAGAAAACAAACAAAAAAUCAAAAAAGUAAAUAAUUUUGUAUAUAUAACCAUUUUUUAAUCUUUUUAUAAAGUAAUGAAUGUUUGUGUAUGAAUGCUGCAGCUGUGAAGCGUACAUAAAUAAAUGAAGUAAGCCAUACUGAUUUAAUUUAUUGGAUGUUAUUUUACCCAUACAAAGAAGAUUCAAAGAGCUCACCAGUGCAGUAUUAGCCCCUGAGCUCCACUUUUGGAAUCAUCUUUCACUUCAGCUUGCUCUUUUUCCCCGGAGAACAAAAAUUCCUGCUAAACAGGAUAAUUUGUUGGCGGCUAGAUGGGUGAGAGCUGUGCGUGACCCACAGAAGAAUCAGGAUCUUGGCUUUCUCUAAAGUGUGUGCACAGAUUGGUUCUAGGUUGUAGUUUGGUGCAGUGUGUACGUAGGAGUUUUCUGUCAUGAUUUCUUGCCCUGGUCAGUGCCACCACUGGCCUGGAUGUGUACAGUGAGUGUUGGAGGUGACGUUUGAAACGGCCUCUCCAUGGAAAGGACUGUUGUUCCUGCAAAGUGCCUUGCACACCUUUGGGCACAGGACAAAAAAGAAAAAAAAGUGAAAAAAGAUUAAAAAAAAAAAAUUUUUUAAAAAGGAAAAAAUAACAACAAUAGGUAAAAAAAAAAACCUUGAAAAUAAAAUGAGUUCCUUAGGAUGUACCUUUUAAAGUAACAUGAAAAAACACACACAGGCGCGAGGUUUACGCCUCUGUGUUCGUGGGGUUGUGAUGGGGACAAAAAAACUGAGAGGGAAAGGAGAAGAAUUGAAACCCAGCCAACAGGGCAGAGCUGCCCAUGGGGUGACCUUGCCACAGAGUUCAGACAACACCCCCUGACCCCGAGGAAUGGCAGAGGCUGCUCCCCACCCUUGUGGCAGGACCUCCCUGCGUUGGCCACUCUGUUCCCCACCCUUCACCCCCAAACAAUGCACAUAAUACUUUUCUCUAUUUAUAUUAUUAUCUUGUAUAGUGUAUAAUGUGAAUGUCUGGGUUUUUUUUUUUUUUUAUUAUUUUUUGUGAAUGGAAGUCUAAAAUCUUUGUAACUUUUAUAUCUGCUUCUGUUUCACCAAAGAAACAAGGUUUUGCUAUACUGUGACUUGUCUUGUUAUUGCAUGUCUUCCUGUUUAAAUCUAUGCAAUGUGAUUUUUUUCAUAUGAAUACAACUAGACUGUCAGGUACUUCACAAUUACCAUGGGCUUGGUCAAGUGCCCUCUGGAGUCAAAGAGUCAGCUGGCUGAACUUUAGUAGGUGCUGGAUUUGACUUUAUAUGAGCAGCUUUAGGGGAUAUUUUAAGAUAUACAUUGUAUGUUUUGAAGUCGAUUAUUGCUUGUAAAAGUCAAGGCUCUGUUCAUAAAUAUACACUAAUCUACACAUCACUUCCUUGUACCAGAAACACACAGAACAGAAAAUAUAUUUUAACACUUUGCAAACUUUCUCACCAUAUGUAUAAAAAAACCCUGCAUAGAUUUGUUGUUUUCUUGUCUACUUGUUGGAUUUAACAAUGUUGUAAGACAUUCAGAUAACAUUGUGAUUGUAGUUUUAAUUAGGUUAGAUGCAGUGCUUAUAUUGAUUUUUUUUCACCUCCUUCUAUUACGCAUAAUAAAAUAGGACUGACAACAUUCCUUAUUAAAAAAAAAAAAAAACAACAAAAAAAAAACCACUUAAAAAACC
ensembl:lncRNA